rnacentral:lncRNA from 1 species
AUGGCCGGGCAAAGGACAUAGGGAUCCGUCACUGAACACCUAACGUUAGACACCGAAACGGGAAUAAGGACACCAGCCUGUGCCCCUCCCCGCCUGGAGGGCCCAGCCUGGCAGUUAGCGGGUCGGGGCGCUCAGUUCCACCUCUCAGAGCGCUGCGGCCCUGUGUUUGAAGGUUAAACAGCCUGACGGUCACCUCGGAGGUCUGAGCGCUGCCGGGCUCCUCCGUGAGCUGUCCCUGCCCCACGACCGUCGCCUCCUGGACCCCCGGCCGCCUCUCCGCCCCUGCCGAGGCCAUGGCUGCGCAGGCUGAGUGCGUCCUCGACAGCUGCUUGGGGCGGGCCCCAAGGGGCUGGAUGGUGGCCCCGCGCUGACCCCGGAGACCGGCCAGCAAGCGAGGGCAGAGCUGGGAAGAGAAACCGGCGACCGCGGAGCCCACCCUCGGCCGAAACUACAAGCCCCAGGACGCUUUGCGCCGGGCUCAAGGGCGCCUCGAGGGAAACGCGCUGAAGCUGGACUUGCUGACUUCCGACCGGGCCCUGGACACCACCGCUCCCCGUGGCCCCUGCAUCGGUCCCGGUGCCGGAGAGAUCCUGGAGCGCGGCCAGCGCGGCGUCGGGGACGUGCUGUUGCAACUCGAGGGGAUCUCCCUAGGUCCUGGGGCCUCUCUCAAGAGGAAGGACCCUAAGGACCAUGAGAAGGAGAACCUGAGGCGGAUCAGGGAGAUUCAGAAGCGCUUCAGAGAACAGGAGCGCAGCCGGGAGCAGGGCCAGCCCAGGCCCCUGAAAGCUCUGUGGCGCUCACCCAAGUACGACAAGGUGGAGUCCCGGGUCAAGGCCCAGCUCCAGGUACCUGCUUCAGGGAGCCAGAAGUAUUAUCCAUUUUGUUGGC